CCUACGGGUGGCUGCAGUGAGGAAUAUUGGGCAAUGGACGAGAGUCUGAACCAGCCAAGCCGCGUGAAGGAUGACUGCCCUCUGGGUUGUAAACUUCUUUUAUAUGGAAAUAAAAUGUUCCACGUGUGGGCUUUUGUAUGUACCAUAUGAAUAAGGAUCGGCUAACUCCGUUCCAGCAGCCGCGGUAAUACGGAGGAUCCGAGCGUUAUCCGGAUUUAUUGGGGUUAAAGGGAGCGUAGGUGGAUUGUUAAGUCAGUUGUGAAAGUUUGCGGCUCAACCGUAAAAUUGCAGUUGAAACUGGCAGUCUUGAGUACAGGAGAGGUGAGCGGAAUUCGUGGUGUAGCGGUGAAAUGCUUAGAUAUCACGAAGAACACCAGUUGCGAAGGCAGUUCACUGGACUGCAACUGACGCUGAGGCUCGGAAGUGUGGGUAUCAAACAGGAUUAGAUACCCUUGUAGUC
rnacentral:rRNA from 1 species